AUUGAACGCUGGCGGCAGGCCUAACACAUGCAAGUCGAGAGAGCGGCGGACGGGUGAGAGAUGUCUGGGAAACUGCCUGAUGGAGGGGGAUCACUACUGGAAACGGUAGCUAAUACCGCAUAACAUCAGAUGUGACAAGAUGGGAUUAGCUAGUAGGUGGGGUAAUGGCUCACCUAGGCGACGAUCCAUAGCCGGUCUGAGAGGAUGACCAGCCACACUGGAACUGAGACACGGUCCAGACUCCUACGGGAGGCAGCAGUGGGGAAUAUUGCACAAUGGGCGCAAGCCUGAUACAGCCAUGCCGCGUGUAUGAAGAAGGCCUUCGGGUUGUAAAGUACUUUCAGCGAGGAGGCGUUACUCGCAGAAGAAGCACCGGCUAACUCCGUGCCAGCAGCCGCGGUAAUUC
rnacentral:rRNA from 1 species